rnacentral:rRNA from 1 species
UGAGGGAAAGGCGAAAAGAACCCCGGCGAGGGGAGUGAAAAAGAACCUGAAACCGUGUACGUACAAGCAGUGGGAGCACAGGUUUACCUGUGUGACUGCGUACCUUUUGUAUAAUGGGUCAGCGACUUAUAUUCUGUAGCAAGGUUAACCGAAUAGGGGAGCCGGAGGGAAACCGAGUCUUAAUUGGGCGUUAAGUUGCAGGGUAUAGACCCGAAACCCGGUGAUCUAGCCAUGGGCAGGUUGAAGGUUGGGUAACACUAACUGGAGGACCGAACCGACUAAUGUUGAAAAAUUAGCGGAUGACCUGUGGCUGGGGGUGAAAGGCCAAUCAAACCGGGAGAUAGCUGGUUCUCCCCGAAAGCUAUUUAGGUAGCGCCUCGUGAAUUCAUCUCCGGGGGUAGAGCACUGUUUCGGCUAGGGGGCCAUCCCGGCUUACCAACCCGAUGCAAACUGCGAAUACCGGAGAAUGUUAUCACGGGAGACACACGGCGGGUGCUAACGUCCGUCGUGAAGAGGGAAACAACCCAGACCGCCAGCUAAGGUCCCAAAGUCAUGGUUAAGUGGGAAACGAUGUGGGAAGGCCCAGACAGCCAGGAUGUUGGCUUAGAAGCAGCCAUCAUUUAAAGAAAGCGUAAUAGCUCACUGGUCGAGUCGGCCUGCGCGGAAGAUGUAACGGGGCUAAACCAU